ACGAACGCUGGCGGCGUGCUUAACCCAUGCAAGUCGAACGGUGAAGCGCCUUCCUUUUUGGUGGGUGUGGAUGAGUGGCGAACGGGUGAGUAACACGUGAGUAACCUGCCCCCUUCUUCUGGAUAACCGCAUGAAAGUGUGGCUAAUACGGGAUAUUCUGGGUCUGUCGCAUGAUGGGUCUGGGAAAGAUAUUGUUUCGGUGGGGGAUGGGCUCGCGGCCUAUCAGCUUGUUGGUGGGGUGAUGGCCUACCAAGGCGGUGACGGGUAGCCGGCCUGAGAGGGUGGACGGUCACACUGGGACUGAGACACGGCCCAGACUCCUACGGGAGGCAGCAGUGGGGAAUAUUGCACAAUGGGCGCAAGCCUGAUGCAGCGACGCCGCGUGAGGGAUGGAGGCCUUCGGGUUGUGAACCUCUUUCGCCAGUGAAGCAGGCCUGCCUCGUUUGUGGGUGGGUUGACGGUAGCUGGAUAAGAAGCGCCGGCUAACUACGUG
rnacentral:rRNA from 1 species